AGGACCCAGCACUCAGCACCCAGGACUCAGCACCCAGCACCUAGAUCACCAAGCACUCAGCACCCAGAUAACCCAGCACCUGGAUCACCCAGCACUCAGCACCUAGGACCCAGCACCCAGAUCACCCAGGACCGAAGUGGACGUCUGCGAUUUUUAGGAUGAAAAUUUCAUUUUUGCCCCCCGCACCCCGGUCGGAAUUCCCCGACUUAUUUGGCGGGAAGCAGCGGUCCGCCCAGCCCCCCACUCACCGUCGAGCGCGUCCGAGAGGUCGAAAUCUGAGGAAAAAACAAAAAAC